rnacentral:miRNA from 1 species
GGGAGUCGGUCCUGCCGGCCA